GAUGAACGCUGGCGGCGUGCCUAAUACAUGCAAGUCGAGCGAACAGACGAGGAGCUUGCUCCUCUGACGUUAGCGGCGGACGGGUGAGUAACACGUGGAUAACCUACCUAUAAGACUGGGAUAACUUCGGGAAACCGGAGCUAAUACCGGAUAAUAUAUUGAACCGCAUGGUUCAAUAGUGAAAGACGGUUUUGCUGUCACUUAUAGAUGGAUCCGCGCCGCAUUAGCUAGUUGGUAAGGUAACGGCUUACCAAGGCGACGAUGCGUAGCCGACCUGAGAGGGUGAUCGGCCACCCUGGAACUGAGCCACGGUCCAGGCUCCUACGGGAGGCACCAGUAGGGAAUCUUCCGCAAUGGGCGAAAGCCUGACGGAGCAACGCCGCGUGAGUGAUGACGGUCUUCGGAUCGUAAAACUCUGUUAUUAGGGAAGAACAAAUGUGUAAGUAACUAUGCACGUCUUGACGGUACCUAAUCAGAAAGCCACGGCUAACUACGUG
rnacentral:rRNA from 1 species